UGGGGAAUAUUGCACAAUGGGCGCAAGCCUGAUGCAGCCAUGCCGCGUGUAUGAAGAAGGCCUUCGGGUUGUAAAGUACUUUCAGCGGGGAGGAAGGCGGUGAGGUUAAUAACCUCAUCGAUUGACGUUACCCGCAGAAGAAGCACCGGCUAACUCCGUGCCAGCAGCCGCGGUAAUACGGAGGGUGCAAGCGUUAAUCGGAAUUACUGGGCGUAAAGCGCACGCAGGCGGUCUGUCAAGUCGGAUGUGAAAUCCCCGGGCUUAACCCGGGAAUUGCAUCUGAUACUGGUCAGCUAGAGUCUUGUAGAGGGGGGUAGAAUUCCAUGUGUAGCGGUGAAAUGCGUAGAGAUGUGGAGGAAUACCGGUGGCGAAGGCGGCCCCCUGGACAAAGACUGACGCUCAGGUGCGAAAGCGUGGGGAGCAAACAGG
rnacentral:rRNA from 1 species